CCGGACCUGUCAGUCACACUCCACACUACACUGUGUCCUGGACAGCCGCUGAAUCUCACAGAAGACGUUUGAGGGCGAGGACACCUUGCAGCACCGUAGCAGUUGGACUCGUUAAGCGAGUACAGGAAUGUCCCGCGUCUCAGCUGCUCUGUAAGCCACACUGAGAUCUCUACAUGCCGGAGCGAUGGACUGCACUACGUACAUCGGACGCUGCUUCGGCUUCUUCCUCCUGGCCCUCGUCCUGGACGUCCUCGGCCUUGUCCUGUUCCUGCUAGGCAUCCUCGCACCGCUCAGCUUCUGGGACUUCUUCGUGCUCUCUGGGCCCAUCAUCAUCUUCAUCAGCCUCAUAUUCUGGAUCUUUUGGUACUUGGGGAACCUCAACGUGCCGUACCAGCAGCUCCUGGCCUGAAGGAGUGGACGAGGUGAAGGGGAAAGAGGGAUUGGGACGUAGCCGAGGGAUUAAGGGACCGUCAGGGACUGAGAUUACGGGCAAAAGAGAGAAAUCAAGCACUUUAUACUUUAGAGGCCCUAUGAAGUCAUCACAGUUUACACAGAGGUGUUUGCCUUCGUCAUGACGUGUCUGAACUCUACGCAGCUCACACGCAGCUCACACGCAGCUCUGUGCUCAACUCCCCAGGACUCAGUUUACACUCUGUGCACUUUUUUUAAGGAUGUUUGUUCUGAGCGAAGUAGAAGCGGCGAUGCAGCUGUUACUGAUCUGUAUUUAAACAUAAAUGUGAUUUAGAUGGCUGAAGGUGAGUGGAAGUGGAUGACUGGUGUUCUGAGGAGCCACUGUCAUGACGCUCGGAUUCCACGCCGAAGCUGUCGGACUUGAAGAGCCAGUGUGUGUGUGUGUGUGUGUGUGUGUGUGUGUGUGUGUGUGUGUGUGUGUGUGUGUGUGUGUGUGUUAGGAAGCCUCUGAUACUAAACACACCUCAGCACAUGGCGUGAUCUUUAUGAAACAAAACAGAAACCAGAAAUACAUAUUUAUUUGGUGUGAUGAUGAUGAUGAUGAUGAUGAUGAUGAUGAUGAUGAUGAUGAUGAUGAUGAUGUCACUGCUGUAAAAUGAGACCUUCAUUCUUCAGACGUUCUUAUUGCUCUCUUGCACACACACACACACACACAGACACACAGACACACACACACACACACACACACACACAAACACACGUUGUCUAGACUACAGCUUGCUUUAGAAUAAAAGGUACGGCUCCUAAAUUCACCACAGUUCAUGUUACAUCCUCGUGUGAGUCACUUCGCUGGACUCUGAUUGGUCAUCAGUUGUUAUUUAAUUCUCUCUAACAGCAGCUCAGACUGUAGCUCAGGUUUAUAUUAAUGCGUUCCUUCUAACAGGUCAUGGUUGCUAUAGUAACAGCUCCUCCACAGCUCACUCAUCACUGAUCAGAUGUCACUGAUGAUGAGAAACAAGCUGACAGGAAAUAAACAGUGAGCUGUGUUCUGUAACAGGACAUAAACACAUUAUUACUGUGUCUUUAACAGCAGAGCCGGGGUCCGGUGGUCGGCUCGUGGAUGCUGGAUAAUCAGACCUGUGAUUGGAUGAGCAGACUGAACCUUACACUCCACCCUGUUUGCCCCCGGACCCCUGGGCUGGUGCAGAGAGCACUAGGGUCCCUACGGAGUGAUCGUGUUGCGGUUUAGAGCUUCACUCAGAGAGAAACCACUGAAAGCUUCCUGAUGUAAUUACAGGCUGUGUAAUGUGGAGCGUUAGACAUCGAUCUCUGACCUUAAACCAAAGCCACACCAACCUGCUUCAGCUGCUCCUUAAACUACAAAACCACAAAAACACACCACAUCUCUUCACUGUAAAAUCACAUGAUCUUCUGAACUGAUAUCUAAAGAACAUUCCUACAGAACUCCUGCUUCCUGUCCAAGUGCACUACAGGAAAUAAGAGCCCACUGUUACAGGAAGUCAGCACCAUGAAGACUCUUUAUACCACCGACAAAUAUCAGACAUUUUACUCAUUAAAUGAUGAACCUUUAA